rnacentral:rRNA from 1 species
GAACGCUAGCUACAGGCUUAACACAUGCAAGUCGAGGGGCAGCAUGGUCUUAGCUUGCUAAGGCCGAUGGCGACCGGCGCACGGGUGAGUAACACGUAUCCAACCUGCCGUCUACUCUUGGACAGCCUUCUGAAAGGAAGAUUAAUACAAGAUGGCAUCAUGAGUCCGCAUGUUCACAUGAUUAAAGGUAUUCCGGUAGACGAUGGGGAUGCGUUCCAUUAGAUAGUAGGCGGGGUAACGGCCCACCUAGUCUUCGAUGGAUAGGGGUUCUGAGAGGAAGGUCCCCCACAUUGGAACUGAGACACGGUCCAAACUCCUACGGGAGGCAGCAGUGAGGAAUAUUGGUCAAUGGGCGAGAGCCUGAACCAGCCAAGUAGCGUGAAGGAUGACUGCCCUAUGGGUUGUAAACUUCUUUUAUAAAGGAAUAAAGUCGGGUAUGGAUACCCGUUUGCAUGUACUUUAUGAAUAAGGAUCGGCUAACUCCGUGCCAGCAGCCGCGGUAAUACGGAGGAUCCGAGCGUUAUCCGGAUUUAUUGGGUUUAAAGGGAGCGUAGAUGGAUGUUUAAGUCAGUUGUGAAAGUUUGCGGCUCAACCGUAAAAUUGCAGUUGAUACUGGAUAUCUUGAGUGCAGUUGAGGCAGGCGGAAUUCGUGGUGUAGCGGUGAAAUGCUUAGAUAUCACGAAGAACUCCGAUUGC